AGGAGUAUAGCAUCUAGAUCAAGGGAAGUAAUAGUGCCACUGUAUUCUGCUCUGGUCAGACCUCACCUGGAGUACUGUGUCCAGUUCUGGGCACCACAGUUCAAGAAGGACACUGACAAACUGGAACGUGUCCAGAGGAGGGCAACCAAAAUGGUCAAAGGCCUGGAAACGAUGUCUUAUGAGGAACGGCUAAGGGAGCUGGGCAUGUUUAGCCUGGAGAAGAGGAGGUUAAGGGGUGAUAUGAUAGCCAUGUUCAAAUAUAUAAAAGGAUGUCACAUAGAGGAGGGAGAAAGGUUGUUUUCUGCUGCUCCAGAGAAGCGGACACGGAGC